rnacentral:rRNA from 1 species
CGAACCGUGCGAACGUUAUUCGGAAUCACUGGGCUUAAAGCGCGUGUAGGCGGGGCGGUGCGUCGGUCGCUGAAAUCCCCCGGCUCAACCGGGGAAGGGGCGCCGAUACGACCGGCCUGGAGCGACGUAGGGGGAACUGGAACUUCCGGUGGAGCGGUGAAAUGCGUUGAGAUCGGAAGGAACGCCCGUGGCGAAAGCGAGUUCCUGGACGUCGGCUGACGCUGAGACGCGAAAGCCAGGGGAGCGAACGGGAUUAGAUACCCCGGUAGUCCUGGCCGUAAACGAUGGGCGCUGGGUAGGGGGCUCGCCGAUGGGCUCCCUGCCGUAGGGAAACCGUGAAGUGCCCCGCCUGGGGAGUAUGGUCGCAAGGCUG